GAUUUAAAUUUAGUGACACGGGGUGUGACACUGUGAAAACAGGGGGGGACAGAUGAGGAGCGAACAGGCUGAUGUAAAUGACCUGGGAAGAUGAGCAAGAAAGGAGACCAAGCAGUGCCUUCAGCAGAGGAGUGCGUUUCCUUUAGAGGGUCCAGAGGCCAUUGUCACCAAUCUCAGAAAUCGCAUAUCCUUUGGUCCCAUGUUGAAAGAAGUGAAGAAUUCUACCUUCCCAGAGGAGAUAGACCCAUCAGAACUGGAUCUGGUUUUGGUUAUGGUGAGCCUGGUGGUUGGCUCCUCUCUUGUCACAGUGACGCUGCUGCUGGUGUGGCUGGCCUACCGUCGCCGGGCAAUCUGGCUGCUCCACUCAGCAGCUCCACCACGAGCCUGCUGUGGCUGUCUGCGCCCAGGAGGUGACUUGAUCCUACCGUGAUCAAGGAGGACCCACUGCCAAUUACACUGAUCACGUCCUCACCAAAAUAGCUGCCGACAAUUACAUUAGUCAACAGACAGUGGAGCAGUCAAUCAUAUUAACCAUAGCGCAGAGACGGCCAGUCGUAUCAGCCGGUAUAGGCCAGACUAGACAAUGAGGAGCAAUCCAAUUCACACCUCCUCUCAUAGGUGACACAGCUGUUGCAGUCGAAUUUCACACUUAAACCAUGAGCAGUCUAUUAUCAUUCACUGAAAAUAAACACCAUCCCCAAAUACAAAAGCUCAGCUGAUCCCUUUAUUUUCCUUUAGUGGCAACAAAUCAAUUCUCUUUGUACCCCACUUUAAGAUUGAUAGCUCAUUAAUAUACUGGUUUAAUAUAAUGUAUGCAUUCAUGGCUUGACUUGUUAUAUUGAGCCCCUGUGAUAGACUGUUUAGGGAAAAUGUGUCUCUUUGGGUAAGAAUGAUUCAAGCAAAUGUAUUGCUGCAAGAAAACAUGAAGAACCCUUUGCAAUGUUGGUUUUUCUUUUUAAAUGUACAAUCAAAAUGACUCAUUAUAUUCUAUCAAUAUUUUGUAAUAUUUUAAAGCCAAGUGGUUUAAAAUGCAUGAAUGAAUCAUUAUCUACCAUUUUAUAACUAAUUAAAUGUGUGUAUAUGGCAAUUCUCUACAAAGUUUUUUUCAUUUUCAGUUUUCUUGCAUUGUUUCUCACAUCAUAAACCUUCA
rnacentral:lncRNA from 1 species